rnacentral:rRNA from 1 species
AGCGAACGCUGGCGGCAGGCUUAACACAUGCAAGUCGAGCGGCCGUAGCAAUACGGCAGCGGCAGACGGGAGAGUAACACGUGGGAACGUACCCUUCAGUACGGAACAACCAAGGGACACUUUGGCUAAUACCGUAUACGUCCGUGAGGAGAAAGAUUUAUCGCUGAAGGAUCGGCCCGCGUCCGAUUAGCUAGUUGGGGAGGUAACGGCUCACCAAGGCGACGAUCAGUAGCUGGUCUGAGAGGAUGAUCAGCCUCACUGGGACUGAGACACGGCCCAGACUCCUACGGGAGGCAGCAGUGGGGAAUAUUGGACAAUGGGCGCAAGCCUGAUCCAGCCAUGCCGCGUGGAUGAUGAAGGCCCUAGGGUUGUAAAGUCCUUUUAACGGGGAGGAUAAUGACGGUACCCGUAGAAUAAGCCCCGGCUAACUUCGUGCCAGCCGCCGCCGUAA